CUGCAUCCACUGAUAGAUCUUGAAUAGUUUGUAGCUGUUCUUCUGGUUUUCACUAGGAUGCAAAAGAAAAUGCUUCCUGUGCUUUCUGCUUUUCUUUGUGGGCCAGAUUGAAGUGAGGAGUACAUCU
ensembl:snoRNA